CUUCAGCGAGCCGAGCCACAGCGGCCGGUCACCGACGCGCUCCUGACCGUAGGUGGCGAGCAGCGCCUGGGCCUC
rnacentral:antisense_RNA from 1 species